AUUGAACGCUGGCGGCAGGCCUAACACAUGCAAGUCGAGCGGCAGCGGAAAGUAGCUUGCUACUUUGCCGGCGAGCGGCGGACGGGUGAGUAAUGUCUGGGAAACUGCCUGAUGGAGGGGGAUAACUACUGGAAACGGUAGCUAAUACCGCAUAACGUCGCAAGACCAAAGAGGGGGACCUUCGGGCCUCUUGCCAUCAGAUGUGCCCAGAUGGGAUUAGCUAGUAGGUGGGGUAACGGCUCACCUAGGCGACGAUCCCUAGCUGGUCUGAGAGGAUGACCAGCCACACUGGAACUGAGACACGGUCCAGACUCCUACGGGAGGCAGCAGUGGGGAAUAUUGCACAAUGGGCGCAAGCCUGAUGCAGCCAUGCCGCGUGUAUGAAGAAGGCCUUCGGGUUGUAAAGUACUUUCAGCGGGGAGGAAGGUGUUGAGGUUAAUAACCUCAGCAAUUGACGUUACCCGCAGAAGAAGCACCGGCUAACUCCGUGCCAGCAGCCGCAGUAACAC
rnacentral:rRNA from 1 species